CUUUAUACUGAGGCAGCCAGCCCUCGUUCGUUUGAGGUUAUUACUGCGCUGUGACUUAGUGUAUAUGAGACCGUCGAUACUUUUUAAUCUAUAAUUGUUGGUGCCCUUAAUUGGUUUAGAUAUAUUCGUUAUAAAAGUUUCGACUCUAUCACUUUGAAAAAAUUAGAGUGCUCAAAGCACUCAUUGCAUAAUUGCCUGAAUGGUAGUGCAUGGAAUGAUGAAAGAUGAUCUCUACCUCGUUAAGUUUAUGAUUAGAUUGGUUCUUUAAUUUGCACCAGGUAAAGAUUCGAGGUUUGAGAUAAUGAUUAAAGGGAACUGCCGGGGGCGUUUGUAUUACGGCGCUAGAGGUGAAAUUCUUGGACCGUCGUAAGACAAACUACUGCGAAAGCAUUCGCCAAGAAUGUUUUCAUUAAUCAAGAASGAAAGUUAGAGUUUAGAAGGAGAUCAGAUACCUCCCUAUUUCUAACCGUAAACUAUGCUAACCUGUUGUCCGUCGGAAGUCAUUUCCGAUGGACGAGCGACCCCARGGAAACCAGAGUUUUUCUGUUCCGGGGGAAGUAUGGUUGCAAAGCUGAAACUUAAAGGAAUUGACGGAAGGGCACCACCAGGAGUGGAGCCUGCGGCUUAAUUUGACUCAACACGGGAAACCUCACCAGGCCCAGAAACAUUUAGGAUUGACAGAUUGAAAGCUCUUUCAUGAUUAUGAGGAUGGUGGUGCAUGGCCGUUCUUAGUUGGUGGAGCGAUCUGUCUGGUUAAUUCCGAUAACGAACGAGAUUCUCAUUUGCUAAAUAGAAGGUAGAUCUUAUCCCGAAAAGUUCUUCGGGGUCUUAUGUCGGGGAGUCUAUCUUUCUUCUUAGAAAAAUCAAUGGUGCUCUAAUCAGUUGACAGGAAGAGCAAUAACAGGUCUGUGAUGCCCUUAGAUGUUCUGGGCCGCACGCGCGCUACAAUGCGCGGUGCAACACGUCCCCCUUCUCCUUAAUGGAGUGGGUAACCGGUUCAAAUCCGGGCUUACUUGGGAUUGGGGCUUGCAAAUAUUUCCCAUAAACGAGGAAUUCCCAGUAAGCGUUGGCUCAUUCAAGUCGCGCUGAUUACGUCCCUGCCCUUUGUACACACCGCCCGUCGCUACUACCGAUUGAAUGUUUC
rnacentral:rRNA from 1 species